AAGACUAUAGACCUGCGGAGUACCUGCGGAGGGAUCAUUACAGAGUUAUCAAACUCCUAAACCCUUUGUUAAUUUACCUAUUUGUUUCUUCGGCAGGUGGUCCCUGGGAGGGUCCUGCAGCCUGUUAAGGUACCUGCCGAAGGUCAUAACUCGGUUUUACAUUAUGUGUCUAAGUCUUACUAUAAAAUAAGUCAAAACUUUUAGCAACGGAUCUCU
rnacentral:misc_RNA from 1 species